rnacentral:rRNA from 1 species
ACUCCUGCGGGAGGCAGCAGUGGGGAAUUUUGGACAAUGGGCGAAAGCCUGAUCCAGCAAUGCCGCGUGAGUGAAGAAGGCCUUCGGGUUGUAAAGCUCUUUUGUCAGGGAAGAAACGGUGAAAGCUAAUAUCUUUUGCUAAUGACGGUACCUGAAGAAUAAGCACCGGCUAACUACGUGCCAGCAGCCGCGGUAAUACGUAGGGUGCAAGCGUUAAUCGGAAUUACUGGGCGUAAAGCGUGCGCAGGCGGUUUUGUAAGUCUGAUGUGAAAUCCCCGGGCUCAACCUGGGAAUUGCAUUGGAGACUGCAAGGCUAGAAUCUGGCAGAGGGGGGUAGAAUUCCACGUGUAGCAGUGAAAUGCGUAGAUAUGUGGAGGAACACCGAUGGCGAAGGCAGCCCCCUGGGUCAAGAUUGACGCUCAUGCACGAAAGCGUGGGGAGCAAACAGGAUUAGAUACCCGUGUAGUCCCA